rnacentral:ncRNA from 2 species
AAUCAUAGAAGAGGUUGCGAAGAUUAAAAGUAACUAAGAGGAAAUCGACGAGGUUAACGACGCUUAGUGAAAGGAUGAUUCGCCGAAACUUUGACUGACUCGUCUCAGUUAGGGUUGGGACUUGGGUUAACAGCCCAAGGACUGUCGCAACUAACAAAAAAGUUGCGGGGCGCUAUCUACGACC